GUCUUUUUGAGUUAUUUUUAAAGUCUGACCUGCCCACUGAAAUUAUUUAAAUGGCCGCAGUAUUCUAACUGUGCAAAGGUAGCAUAAUCAUUAGUCUUUUAAUUGAAGGCUGGUAUGAACGGUUGGACGAGGUAUAAGCUGUUUCAUAUAAAUUUAUAAUAGAAUUUUAUAUUUUAGUCAAAAAGCUAAAAUUUAAUUAAAAGACGAGAAGACCCUAUAAAUCUUUAUAUUUUAUGUUAUUUAAAUUUUUUAGAUUAAUUUUAUUUUUAUAACUUAAAGUAUUUUGUUGGGGUGAUAUUAAAAUUUAAUGAACUUUUAAUUGUUAAAAAUCAUUAAUUUAUGAGUUAUUGAUCCAUUAAUAGUGAUUAUAAGAUUAAGUUACUUUAGGGAUAACAGCGUAAUUUUUUUGGAGAGUUCAUAUCGAUAAAAAAGUUUGCGACCUCGAUGUUGGAUUAAGAUAUAUUUUUAGGUGUAGCCGCUUAAAUGUUAAGUCUGUUCGACUUUUAAAUUCUU
rnacentral:rRNA from 1 species